rnacentral:rRNA from 1 species
UACGUAGGGUGCGAGCGUUAAUCGGAAUUACUGGGCGUAAAGCGUGCGCAGGCGGUUGUGCAAGACCGAUGUGAAAUCCCCGGGCUUAACCUGGGAAUGGCAUUGGUGACUGCACGGCUAGAGUGUGUCAGAGGGGGGUAGAAUUCCACGUGUAGCAGUGAAAUGCGUAGAGAUGUGGAGGAAUACCGAUGGCGAAGGCAGCCCCCUGGGCUGAGAUUGACACUCAGGCACGAAAGCGUGGGGAGCAAACAGG